rnacentral:piRNA from 1 species
UGUCAGUGCUAACAAGGAUCAGAUUCGUC